rnacentral:tRNA from 1 species
GAGCUAUNGGGUUCAUACCCCAUUUAUAAAGGUUAAAUCCUUUUCUUUUUA